UGUCCCCAGCCAUGGGCCAAGAGACACUUGUUGGCAGUGUUGAUUCUUAUAUCAGUCAGGGGCAGAGCAGAUGGCAUUUAUACGUUCAUCCUAACUUGAUGCCUGACUCGGUGGCCAAAGCUGUUUUAUGCCUAGGGCACAUAA